AGAUCUGUUAGUGAUGAAGCCUCCACCUGUUGUUCCACCUUACAGAUCUAGGCUGGGUAGGUAGAUCUGUUUUAGUGAUGAGGCCUCCAACAUAUCUCUUUCACUGCAAACAUCAGAGGGUUGGAACAAUGGGAAGGGCUAGGGAAUGGAUUGGGACAACACAAUCAGAGAGAACCAAUCGCCGUGCCGAAAGCUGACAUAAAUAUGACACAGAUAGUGGAUGUCUGAAUGAUGCAGUGCCCAUGUCUUCCUUCCUGCCUCCCUCCUAAAAUAUCUGCUCCACUGGUCUGAGAGGGGGGAGAAAGACGCAGAGAGAGGGGGGGGGGAGAUGUAGAAGAGAGACAGAGAAAGAGAAAAAGAGGGAGGAGACAAAUCGGCUGAAUGAAUGGGUGCCAAUUACAGGCUGCGUCCUGAAGGAUGCUUGGAGAAUGCAGAGGCAGUGGCUACGUUCCAAAAGGCACCCUAUUACCUGUAAAGGCCUAUGAACCUGGUCAAAGUAGUACACAAUAUAAGGAAUAGGUGCCAUUUGGGAUGCAGACUAAUCAACCAUUAUCUGCCCGGGCCAGACCUAAUGCUACUGUCUGGGGUUUUGGGAAUCUAUUCAAUGUCAUCAAGUGUGGGGGCUGCCAUUACCUACACAACAAAUCCCUGAUUCUAGUUUAAUGACAGAGACAAUAUGUGGGUGGUUGGCAAAUGGAGAAUAGGAUAGGACUUUUAGGCACUAAUCAUUGGCCUGUUACGUCUUGCUGUUACGUCUUGCUUGUACGUCUUGGCCUUGUUACGUCUUGGCCUUGUUACGUCUUGGCCUUGUUACUUCUUGCCCUGUACGUCUUGGCCUUGUUACAUCUUGCGCUUGUUACGUCUUGGCCCUGUAUCGUCUUGGCCUUGUUAUGUCUUGGCCCUUUUACGUCUUGGCCUUUUUAUCUUGGCCCUUUACGUCUUGGCCCUGUUACGUCUUGGGCCUUGUUACGUCUUGGCCUUGUUAUGUCUUGGCCCGGUUACGUCUUGGCCCUGUUUACGUCUUGGCCCUGUUACGUCUUGGCCCUGUUAUGUCUUGGCCCUGUUACGUCUUGCUGUAUUCGUGGCCCUGUUACAUCUUGCUGUACGUCUUGGCCCUGUUACUUUGGCCUUAUUCUUGGCCCUGUUACAUCUUGCUGUUACGUCUUGGCCCUGUUACGUCGUUGCUGUUACGUGUUGGCCCCGUUACGUCUUGGCCCUGUUAGGUCUUGGCCCUGUUACAUCUUGCUGUUAGUCUUGGCCCGUUACGUCUUGCGUAUCUUGCCGUUACGUCUUGGCCUGUUAUGUCUUGGCCCUUAUGCCUUGGUCCUGUUUACGCCUUGCUGUUGUGUCUGGCCUGUUACGCCUUGUUGUUGUGUCUUGGCCCAGUUACGUCUUGCCCUGUUGACUCUUGCUGUUACGUGUUUGGCAGGUGGUUUGAUAGCGUUUAAAUAGACUCACAAUGGUUUUGUUUGUGACAGGUGUGUUGUGGACAGGUGUGUUGUAACAGGUGUGUUGUAACAGGUGUGUAUUAUAGAAUGUGAGACAUCCAGUAGCUCAGAGCUGGUGCUUGAUAGAUAUCCAGGCCAGGAAUGACCACUAACUGUGUCAAAAGAAAACAUUAAUCUACUUGUCCUUUAUGUGGUGUCUUUGUAUCUCAGGAUUGCUGGGGACACGGCUCUCUCGCAAGAACAUCCAUGAAUCACAGUCGUGCAGAUGAGGAAAAACUUUGCCAAAGCAAAUGAGGGUAGGUUCUAUUCGUACAAUGAUUGGUUUUUGUGUAUGUUUACUAUAUUUGUCAACCUCUCUAUUUGCAUAUGCCACCCUCUCUCUCUCUCUCUCCCUCCCUGCCUCCCCUCCUGCCCCCUCUCUCUUUCUCUCCUCCCUGCUCCUCUCCCUCCCUUCCCCCUUCCUCUCCCCUUCCCCCUCUCCCUCCCUGCCUCCUCUCCCCCUCGCCUCCCUCCUCCCUCCCCUGCCUCCCCUCCCGGCCAUCCUCUCUCUUUCUCCCUCCCUGCCUCCUCUCCCUCCCUCCUCCCCUCCCUUCCCCCUCUCCCGCCUUCCUCCCUCUGCUCCCUUCACCUGCCUUCCUUCUCCCUCCCAUCCGCCCCUAUCUCGCCGUCUCCUCCACAGCAAGCGUUUAACGCCACAGCAGUGAUCCGUCAUAUGAGGCGUCUCCAGUUAGGCAGUAGUCUUGGCGGCAGCUUUGGAAGCAGUAUGAGUGUGGACCAACCAGGACAGAAUUCUAUGCCAGCCAAGAGCAUGUCUGUAGACUGUGCCUCCCUCUCACGCAAAGACGGUUAGUGAGUGACUCCUUUACUUUAUGAUGUGGGGAGCAGGCCGUGUCCGGUUGGCUCUGUUGGGGUCUAUUAAAGGAUUUUUGUUCCGUCAUUGAUUGGUUUCCACUAAUACUUCAGUGAUUGUGCUCGUCUAGUCAUUGAGGUUAUCGUCUCUGCUUCUCCCCUCAGGUCCUCUACAACCUCUGUCCACUCUGCCUCCUCUGCCAUCCUCCCCUGCGGCCUGCAGCGCCCCCGUUAGCAUCGGAGUGGAACCACAUGUAGAACCAGAGGCAGUGUUGGAGGUGCCCCGGCCACGCCCCUCCACGGUCACCACCAUCCACACGGGGACUAAAUGACAUCAGGUUCCACGCGAGGUCAGCUGGGAGACCACAGAGCUUUGAGUCGGGAUUCCAUGAAUACAAUUCCGCCCCUCUGAAUUCCACAAUUCGUCUCUCUUAGUCUGCCCACCCCGCCCCAUUCUCAGCUGCUGGGAUUGAGAACUUGAGGAGCUGUUCAAGGCUCCAUUUACCAUGGAUCAGCACUCACUGCAGUCCCAGUGCAGCACUCUGAUGUCCGUACCCUCCACAGGAGGUGUAUUCAGUGAUGUGAAAUAGAAUGAGGAGAACUGACAGGAUUUCCUAUUCUAUCUAAUUGAUCUGUUCUACACCGUACGUUCCUAUCUUGAACACUCUGCCCGCUAACGGGCCACAGGGCUGGUGGAGGAGAAGUAGAGGACCACUGACUGUCUCGCUCUGUCCUCCUGACCAGAGGGUGGCCAGCGGGGUCAGUCUCCCAGUGCUUGAAUCGGGUCGGUACGGAGUAAUUUCAACCUCAAAUGUUCACCUCCUUAUUGAAUAUUCACUCUAAACAUUGUAUAGUAUCAGCCAGUAGUUUUAAAAGUAGGGCCCCCCCCCCCCGCCCCCCAAGGCGCAUUUGUUAUUGUUUUUGUUUUUGUUUUGAGGAAUUAGCUGUUGUUUUGAAGUAACGUCUUUGUUGUCCUCAUAUCGCAGUUUCACCGCUAUGGAUCGCAGCUUCAAGAUCCUAUUCCAUUUCUUUAAAAUAUGGUACUGUAUUAUGGUACUGGUAUGGUACUGUAAAUAUGGUACUGUAAAAUGAAAAUGACCACCUGAAAUCUUUGUCAUAGCACCUGGCAUGUUGUAAGACUGUCCACCGAGAGACAAAAAGAAGACCUGUUUGUAUGGUGGUGUGAGGAGGCCACACUAUGGGAACUCACCAGGUUUUCAUUAUUAGUCUUAAUUAUUGAGCCUGCUGUAACUCGGAGACUGUGAGACUGCUGUAACUCGGAGACUGUGAGACUGCUGUAACUCGGAGACUGUGAGACUGCUGUAACUCGGAGACUGGGAGACUGCUGUAACUCGGAGACUGGGAGACUGCUGUAACUCUGUGAGACUGAGUGUUGGGCACAGAACACCCUCUAUGCCUUGUGUUGAAUAUCGCACAUGGAAACUGUUGAGUGGAGUUAGCGUUUCAUGCAACUGAAACAGAGCAUUCAAGGCUAAAAUAGUAAUUCCAUAUUAUUCUCAAUCAUAUUUCUAAUUGUUUUAAAAGCUUGAAUGUUUUUCUGCAGUUGUAGGAAAGAGCUGUUGUAUAUUUGCUUUGCAUUUUCUGGAUAUAGAAUGUCAGUGGAAUGAAUAAAUAUCUAUCUGCAGAGUCAUGCACCCACACACAUCUGUGAAUGAAGUGCUUUAGUAGUGUGAGAUGAUGAAAUCCGUUUUGAUAUUACUGUAGUGACGGUUCUGAUUUGAUUGUACACUUUUCCUAAUGGAAAGGUAUGUAAUUGUCUUAUAUUUAAUGACAUUUGUAAGAACAGUACGUGUGUCACUAGACUUUUAUGUUGAAAUAUAUAAAUGGAAACAGAUGUUAUGUUAAUAAGAUAAAAGGUAUAGUUAUUGCUUGGUGGUUUAGUAUUUUAUUUUUAACGGAUCGAUUGCGAUGUAACCGUGAAGCCAUGCUUAGCAUAAGGAUGCAACGUAGGAACACAACGUUGUGACCAGUUCUCAGGGAAAUUCUUUGAGGAACAUUUGAGGACAUGAAACCCCAGUUAUGUUGAUGAUGAUGAUGAUGAAGAGGAUACAUGUAUUGACUAAAGCACACGUUGCAUAUUAUUACGUGCCCUCAGGACAGUUGGGCCCAUAAUUCAUAGCCGUGUGAGGGCAGUUUGAUAUAUCCCAUAGUUGAGGGUUUGUUUUAGAUUUGUAUAAUACAAGGCUAAGAAGAAUGAAAGAAGGCAUAUAACUAUUACCACUGUACUGUAGUUUUAUUUAAACACUGAAAAUGACAAACUACGAAAUAAAGAUUGAAGUAAUUUGAUUACCAUUGUUCCGUUGCAGAAAGUCUGUAGCAUGUAGUGUACUUUAGUUAGCUGUUCUCCCCCUCCGCAGGCGUUGGCUGUUCCCAGAACUGUGGUGCUGUUCUCAUCUCUCUCUCUCUCUCUCUCUCUCUCUCUCUCUCUCUCUGUCUCUCUCUGUCUGUCUCUCUGUCUCUCUCUGUCUCUCUCUUUCUCUCUCUCUCUCUCUCUCUCUCUCUCUCUCUCUCUGUCUCUCUCUUUCUCUGUCUCUCUCUCUCUGUCUCUCUCUCUGUCUCUCUCUGUCUCGCUCUCUCUGUCUCUCUCUGUCUCUCUCUCUCUCUCUCUCUCUUCUCGCUUUGCUACUCUCUCCCAAAGUUGAUGGUUUUAAGUUUUCACACAACAGGGAGAAGGAGAAUAUGUUGUGCGAACGUUUUAACUGUCACUAAAGAACAAUGAGUAUAGAUAUAUAUGUUCGUAAGAAAGUAGGUCCUCUCCUUCCUGUGUAAAUAUAAAUCUCAUGAACCAGAUUUGCUUGGAAAGAAGAUCUCAUGAAUCUCAUGAACCAGAUUUGCUUGGAAAGAUUUGCUUGGAAUGUUUAUGAUUGAUUUUCUACGUUGUUUGUUUACUUAUUUGGAUCUCCAUUAGCUUUUGCAGAAGCAGCAGCUACUCUUCCUGGGGGUGCACAAAAGUACAUGACUAGUAACAAAAUACUGAUACACUGACAGACAAGGACAGACACACACAUUAUAAAAACAACGAUAUACAAACAAUACAACAACAGAAAUGAUGUGUGUGUUAGUGUGUCUGCGUGUGUUUGUGUCCCCUCACAGUCACCGCCGUUCCAUGAGAUGUUAGUUUUGGACUUGGGAACUGUGAAGAGACCCCUGGUGGUAUCUCUUGUGGGGUAUGUAUGGGUGUCUGAAGAGACCCCUGGUGGUAUCUCUAGUGGGGUAUGUAUGGGUGUCUGAGCUGAAUGGUACUAUAUUAUUUUAUGAGAACUAGAAGAGAAGCAGUUCAUCUCUUGUCAACCCUCAACCAGGAAAGACUGGCCUGCAUGUUGUUGAUGUUAGUUCUCUGGGUGUGCAUUUAAGGGCAAGGCGUGCUGCUCUGCUCUGAGCCAGCUGCAGCUUUGCUAGGUCUUUCUUUGCUGCACUUGACUGUAUUACCAGACAGUAAUCAACAUGGGACAAGACAAGAGCACAGUCGAUUACUGUGUAAAGAAAAUGCAGAACAUCUUUUUAAAACAGACAUACUCCUCCCCAUCUUCACAUCAACUUUGUCAGUAUGACUUGACCAUGAUAAUGGACCAUCCAAUGUUAUACUUAGGGGUUCAUCUUCCUCAACUGGCUCGAUGGUCACACCGUUUAUACACAACUCCUGUUGAGGUUUACGUCUUAGAGAAUGUUCUGAACUCAAUACAAUGCUUUUAGUUGUAGAUGUAUUUAAGACCAGUUUAUUAUGAAUCACCCAUUAUGAUACUGACUGUAACUCAUAUUAAUAUUAACUCAUAAUAAUAUCAUAUUAUUAUAUACUGUAUAUGUUUAUAUAUCAUAUUAUAUAUCAUAUUAUUAUAUAUCAUAUCAUUAUUAUAUACUGUAUAUUAUAUAGCAUAUAUAUAUCAUAUUAUUAUAUACUGUAUAUUAUAUAGCAUAUAUAUAUCAUAUCAUUAUUAUAUAUCAUAUAUCACAUUAUAUAUUAUUAUAUAUUAUAUUAUUAUAUAUGGUAUAUUAUUA
ensembl:lncRNA